GACGAACGCUGGCGGCAUGCCUAAUACAUGCAAGUCGAGCGAACGGAUGAAGUGCUUGCACUUCUGACGUUAGCGGCGAACAGGUGAGUAACACGUAAGGAAUCUACCUAUAAGCGGGGGAUAACAUUCGGAAACGGGUGCUAAUACCGCAUAAUAUCUUCUUCCGCAUGGAAGAAGAUUGAAAGACGGCUCUGCUGUCACUUAUAGAUGACCUUGCGGUGCAUUAGUUAGUUGGUGGGGUAAUGGCCUACCAAGACGAUGAUGCAUAGCCGACCUGAGAGGGUGAUCGGCCACAUUGGGACUGAGAACCGGCCCAAACUCCUACGGGAGUCAGCAGUAGGGAAUCUUCCGCAAUGGGCGAAAGCCUGACGGAGCAAUGCCGCGUGAGUGAAGAAGGCCUUCGGGUCGUAAAACUCUGUUAUAAGAGAAGAACAAAUUGUAGAGUAACUGCUACAGUCUUGACGGUAUCUUAUCAGAAAGCCACGGCUAACUACGUGCCAGCCGCCGCCGUAA
rnacentral:rRNA from 1 species